GGGUGCAGUCGAACGGUGAACACGGAGCUUGCUCUGUGGGAUCAGUGGCGAACGGUGUGACGUAACACGUGAUGCACCUGCCCCUGACUCUGGGAUAAUGCGCUGGAAACGGCGCUCUAAUACUGGAUAUGUGACGUGACCGCAUGGUCUGCGUUUGGAAAGAUUUUUCGGAUUGGGGAUGGGCUCGUCGGCCUAUCAGUCUUGUUGGUGAGGUAAUGGCUCACCAAGGCGUCGACGGGUAGCCGGCCUGAGAGGGUGACCGGCCACACUGGGACUGAGACACGGCCCAGACUCCUACGGGAGGCAGCAGUGGGGAAUAUUGCACAAAUGGGCGGGAAGCCUGGAUGCAGCAACCGCCGCGUGGAGGGGAUGGACGGCCUUCGGGUUGUAACCUCUUUUAGCAGGAAAACGAAAGUGACGGUACCUGAAAAAAGCCGCCGGUUAUACGUGCCA
rnacentral:rRNA from 1 species